rnacentral:tRNA from 27 species
CGGGGAGUGGCGCAGCCUGGUAGCGCAUCUGCUUUGGGAGCAGAGGGUCGCAGGUUCGAAUCCUGUCUCCCCGACCA